CACAUGCAGUCGAGCGGGGGANAUUGCUUCGGUAAUUGACCUAGCGGCGGACGGGUGAGUAAUACUUAGGAAUCUGCCUAUUAAUGGGGGACAACAUCUCGAAAGGGAUGCUAAUACCGCAUACGCCCUACGGGGGAAAGCAGGGGAUCACUUGUGACCUUGCGUUAAUAGAUGAGCCUAAGUCGGAUUAGCUAGUUGGUGGGGUAAAGGCCUACCAAGGCGACGAUCUGUAGCGGGUCUGAGAGGAUGAUCCGCCACACUGGGACUGAGACACGGCCCAGACUCCUACGGGAGGCAGCAGUGGGGAAUAUUGGACAAUGGGGGGAACCCUGAUCCAGCCAUGCCGCGUGUGUGAAGAAGGCCUUAUGGUUGUAAAGCACUUUAAGCGAGGAGGAGGCUCUCUUGGUUAAUACCCAAGAAGAGUGGACGUUACUCGCAGAAUAAGCACCGGCUAACUCUGUGCCAGCAGCCGCGGUAAUACAGAGGGUGCGAGCGUUAAUCGGAUUUACUGGGCGUAAAGCGUGCGUAGGCGGCUUUUUAAGUCGGAUGUGAAAUCCCCGAGCUUAACUUGGGAAUUGCAUUCGAUACUGGGAAGCUAGAGUAUGGGAGAGGAUGGUAGAAUUCCAGGUGUAGCGGUGAAAUGCGUAGAGAUCUGGAGGAAUACCGAUGGCGAAGGCAGCCAUCUGGCCUAAUACUGACGCUGAGGUACGAAAGCAUGGGGAGCAAACAGGAUUAGAUACCCUGGUAGUCCAUGCCGUAAACGAUGUCUACUAGCCGUUGGGGCCUUUGAGGCUUUAGUGGCGCAGCUAACGCGAUAAGUAGACCGCCUGGGGAGUACGGUCGCAAGACUAAAACUCAAAUGAAUUGACGGGGGCCCGCACAAGCGGUGGAGCAUGUGGUU
rnacentral:rRNA from 1 species